rnacentral:rRNA from 1 species
UACAGAGGGGGCAAGCGUUGUUCGGAAUUACUGGGCGUAAAGGGCGCGUAGGCGGCCCGCUAAGUCGAACGUGAAAUCCCCGGGCUCAACCCGGGAACUGCGUCCGAUACUGGUGGGCUUGAAUCCGGGAGAGGGAUGCGGAAUUCCAGGUGUAGCGGUGAAAUGCGUAGAUAUCUGGAGGAACAUCAGUGGCGAAGGCGGCCUUCUGGUCCAGUACUGACACUCAAGUGCGAAAGCGUGGGGAGCAAACAGG